rnacentral:rRNA from 1 species
AAUGCGCCUGGACCUAAA